rnacentral:rRNA from 1 species
AACCUGGUUGAUCCUGCCAGUAGCAUAUGCUUAUCUUGGAGAUUAAGCCAUGCAUGUCUAAGUAUAAGUUAUAUACGGCGAAACUGCGAAUGGCUCAUUAAAACAGUUAUAGUACACUUGAUAAUGUCUUUAUACGGAUAACCGUGGGAAACCAGAGCUAAUACGUGCAAAAAGACCUUAGGGUUGUAUUUAUUAGCUAUAAGCCAUUACCUUCGGGUUUUGCGAGGAGUCAUAAUAACUGAUCGAAGCGCACUUGUGUGUGCUAAAUCUUUCUAGUUUCUGCCCUAUCAGCUUUCGAUGGUAGUGUAUUGGACUACCAUGGCGAUCACGGGUAACGGAGAAUUAGGGUUCGAUUCCGGAGAGGGAGCCUGAGAAACGGCUACCACAACCACGGUAGGCAGCAGGCGCGUAAAUUACCCAAUCCUGACUCAGGGAGGUAGUCACGAGAAAUUUUGGAUCGGUCUAAAUAGGCUGAGCACGAAAUGGAAUAAAUAUAAACCAUUUUUUGAAAUCAAUUGGAGGGCAAGUCUGGUGCCAGCAGCCGCGGUAAUUCCAGCUCCAAUAGUGUAUCUUAACGUUGUUGCAGUUAAAAAGCUCGUAGUUGAACUUCUGACAGGUCAGCAAACUUAGGUUUGCCAGACUAUGUCAUCCGCCUUGGGAACUAUGUUCGUCCUUUUCUGGUCAAUGUAGGGAACUGGCAUUUUACUUUGAAGAAAUUAGAGUGUUCCUAGCAGGCUAUGCUUGAAUACAUCAGCAUGGAAUAAUGGAAUAGGACAAAGUCCAUUUGAUUGGUUAUUGGAUUUUGUAAUGAUUAACAGGGACAGUUGGGGGCACUCGUAUUCAUUUGUCAGCGGUGAAAUGCUUUGAUUAGGUGAAGACGAACUAAUGCGAAAGCAUUCGCCAAGGAUGUUUUCAUUAAUCAAGAACGAAAGUUAGGGGAUCAAAGACGAUUAGAUACCGUCGUAGUCCUAACUAUAAACUAUACCGACUAGGGAUUGGCAAGAGGACGACUCUUGUCAGCACCUAAUGAGAAAUCAAAGUCUUUGGGUUCUGGGGGGAGUAUGGUCGCAAGGCUGAAACUUAAAGGAAUUGACGGAAGGGCACCACCAGGAGUGGAGCCUGCGGCUUAAUUUGACUCAACACGGGGAAACUCACCAGGGCAAGACCGAAGUAUGAUUGACAGAUUGAGAGCUCUUUCUUGAUAAUCGGGAUGGUGGUGCAUGGCCGUUCUUAGUUGGUGGAGUGAUUUGUCAGGUUAAUUCCCUUAACAAACGAGACCUUAACCUACUAAACUAGGAGUACCUUAUUCAAGGUAUUUCCUUCUUAGAGGGACUGUGCGUCCAAAACGCAAGGAAGUUUGAGGCAAUAACAGGUCCGUGAUGCCCUUAGAAGUCCUGGGCCGCACGCGUGCUACACUGACUCAUGCAACAAGUAUAACCUCACUCGAAAGAGGGCUGGUAAUCUUUAUAAUAUGAGUCGUGCUAGGGAUUGAUCUUUGCAAUUUUGGAUCAUGAACGAGGAAUUCCUAGUAAGCAUAAGUCAUCAUCUUGUGCUGAUUACGUCCCUGCCCUUUGUACACACCGCCCGUCGCUCCUACCGAUUGAGUGAUCCAGUGAACUUUCUGGACUAUUGGCCUAUGCUAAAUAGGAAAUUAAGCAAACCUUAUCACUUAGAGGAAGGAGAAGUCGUAACAAGGUUUCCGUAGGUGAACCUGCAGAAGGAUCA